CUGUUUUUGUUUGUUUGUUUGUUUUGUUUGUUUGUUUUUCAGUCCACUGACUGUCUCAGAAUAUUAAAGUGGAUCUGAUACGCAGCAGCCUUUCUAGCAUGCAUGGACAAAUUUGACUUUAUUUUUCACAUGUACUGUAAGUGGAAUUGAUAAUAUAAGGGUGUAUUUGCUUUUAGUUUAAUGACACACAUGCAUAUUGUUUAACAAUCUCUCUCAUUGCCCCAAAUUCUGUAAUGUGCACAACAGUGUAAUUUAGUGCAUCCAUUCUGGACCUAAAUCCCCUUCCAGCUUUUAAGGGGUUAAUGGCAAUAAUGACACUAGUUGAAGUCUAACAAUAAGUUGCAAUGGUAUUGUCUUCUAUUGGCCAUACUGAAGGCUAAAUUGCUCUUUUUUUCUGGGGUUCUGGUUGUGCUGUAAGAAGACCACCAGGACUGAUGAGAUUUGUCUGCAUCUACACAGGAAUACAAUAUGGUCUUCAUCUCAGGGAGGUGUAACUGGUUGCUUUUGUGAAAUUCAACACUGCUGUUGAGAGCUGAACAUGUACUGAAUCCAUUCCACCACAGAGACUUGUAGAAUGUGUUGGUAGAUGAGGUAGAAAGGACUGAACUACAGUAUAACUGUAAUGGUUUCACAAAACAGUAUUGAUAUUGUAGAGUGUUUUAAAGGGUAAUUCAGCUUUACAUAUAUAGACAGUAUAUAUAUAUAUAUAUAUAUAUUAUUCAAAGCUUAUGUAGCAUUCUUCUUUCUUACAUGUCAUGUUAAGAAAUUAAAGAUGUUGACUUUAAAGCCAGUAUUGUAUAAAUAAGCACUAUAAGGAAAAACUAUAGAUGAAUAAUAUAUCACUGUUGUGGACCAGAUUAAGUUGUAAUUGCUAUCUGUUUACAAUAUAAGUGAUUUUAUCUACUGUCAUUUUCAGUGCUGUGUCAACUGCAGACCUGUGUUUGAUAAAUGUGUAGCUUUGACUGUGUCGUUAAAGCGUUUAAUUUCUCAGAGACCUCUAAGGUUAUUGACAGCUGAAAUCACUUGAAUAUGGAGCUGGAGAUUUAUACUGUAGAGAAAAAGAAAAAAAAAAAUCAUCACGGACUGGAAAGUGGAAGAGCUGCUGCUGGCCGAUGUCAGAGCUGCCAGCUGACGUGAGAGAUGCCACCGCCAAUGACGUUAUGAAUAAUUUCUAUAAAUGUGUUUUUUUAAUAUUGCAAAUAAGACAUGCACGUAUGAUUUGUUACUGCAAAGAAAAAAAUUAUAACUGCAUUGCUCCGCCUGAGUAAUAAUGUCUCUGUCCAGGCAUUGCUUUGGAUCAGUCAUUUCUCCUUCAUCACAAGACGUCCUCAUACACCCCCUAGUCCUAUUGUGCUCUGGGUUAUGUGCUUUAUUGUGUCUGAGAAAAGAAUAAAAGACACUUGCAAUGACA